AGUUUGAUCCUGGCUCAGGAUGAACGCUAGCUACAGGCUUAACACAUGCAAGUCGAGGGGCAGCAUUUCAGUUUGCUUGCAAACUGGAGAUGGCGACCGGCGCACGGGUGAGUAACACGUAUCCAACCUGCCGAUAACUCGGGGAUAGCCUUUCGAAAGAAAGAUUAAUACCCGAUGGCAUAAUUAGACCGCAUGGUCUUAUUAUUAAAGAAUUUCGGUUAUCGAUGGGGAUGCGUUCCAUUAGGCAGUUGGUGAGGUAACGGCUCACCAAACCUUCGAUGGAUAGGGGUUCUGAGAGGAAGGUCCCCCACAUUGGAACUGAGACACGGUCCAAACUCCUACGGGAGGCAGCAGUGAGGAAUAUUGGUCAAUGGACGAGAGUCUGAACCAGCCAAGUAGCGUGAAGGAUGACUGCCCUAUGGGUUGUAAACUUCUUUUAUAUGGGAAUAAAGUUUUCCACGUGUGGAAUUUUGUAUGUACCAUAUGAAUAAGGAUCGGCUAACUCCGUGCCAGCAGCCGCGGUAAUACGGAGGAUCCGAGCGUUAUCCGGAUUUAUUGGGUUUAAAGGGAGCGUAGGUGGACAGUUAAGUCAGUUGUGAAAGUUUGCGGCUCAACCGUAAAAUUGCAGUUGAUACUGGCUGUCUUGAGUACAGUAGAGGUGGGCGGAAUUCGUGGUGUAGCGGUGAAAUGCUUAGAUAUCACGAAGAACUCCGAUUGCGAAGGCAGCUCACUGGACUGCAACUGACACUGAUGCUCGAAAGUGUGGGUAUCAAACAGGAUUAGAUACCCUGGUAGUCCACACAGUAAACGAUGAAUACUCGCUGUUUGCGAUAUACAGUAAGCGGCCAAGCGAAAGCAUUAAGUAUUCCACCUGGGGAGUACGCCGGCAACGGUGAAACUCAAAGGAAUUGACGGGGGCCCGCACAAGCGGAGGAACAUGUGGUUUAAUUCGAUGAUACGCGAGGAACCUUACCCGGGCUUAAAUUGCAUUUGAAUAUAUUGGAAACAGUAUAGUCGUAAGACAAAUGUGAAGGUGCUGCAUGGUUGUCGUCAGCUCGUGCCGUGAGGUGUCGGCUUAAGUGCCAUAACGAGCGCAACCCUUAUCUUUAGUUACUAACAGGUCAUGCUGAGGACUCUAGAGAGACUGCCGUCGUAAGAUGUGAGGAAGGUGGGGAUGACGUCAAAUCAGCACGGCCCUUACGUCCGGGGCUACACACGUGUUACAAUGGGGGGUACAGAAGGCAGCUACCUGGUGACAGGAUGCUAAUCCCAAAAGCCUCUCUCAGUUCGGAUCGAAGCCUGCAACCCGACUUCGUGAAGCUGGAUUCGCUAGUAAUCGCGCAUCAGCCAUGGCGCGGUGAAUACGUUCCCGGGCCUUGCACACACCGCCCGUC
rnacentral:rRNA from 1 species